AUUGAACGCUGGCGGAAUGCUUUACACAUGCAAGUCGAGCGGCAGCGCGGGGGGCAACCCUGGCGGCGAGCGGCGAACGGGUGAGUAACAUAUCGGAACGUACCCAGUCGUGGGGGAUAACUAUCCGAAAGGAUAGCUAAUACCGCAUACGUCCUGAGGGAGAAAGCGGGGGAUCGCAAGACCUCGCGCGAUUGGAGCGGCCGAUAUCGGAUUAGCUAGUUGGUGGGGUAAAGGCUCACCAAGGCGACGAUCCGUAGCGGGUCUGAGAGGACGACCCGCCACACUGGAACUGAGACACGAUCCAGACUCCUACGGGAGGCAGCAGUGGGGAAUUUUGGACAAUGGGGGCAACCCUGAUCCAGCCAUUCCGCGUGAGUGAAGAAGGCCUCGGUUGUAAG
rnacentral:rRNA from 1 species